GAUCGGAUGGCGCAAUGGUAGCGCGUCUCCAAUACAGUCUACCUCUUCUUCUCGUGUACUAAUAGACGCUCUCGGGCACUCUUGGUGAGGAGUAAGUAGCAUUGGAACGGAGAAGGCUCUAGGUUCGAUUCCUAGUCUGGUCA